GCGUCCGUGGCCCCCGGCCUCUUCCCUCGGGCGGGGAUGGCGAAGGAGCUGUGACUUUCCGGCCGCCGCGCCCCACCGCCCGGCACGGUGCCGCGUACACAGUGGGCGCUCAGUACCCGGGGGCGACGGGACCGAUCGGCCGUGGUUCAGCCCUCUGGGGACCCAGAUCCGAAGCGGGACCCGGCGAGAGCGGGUCCGCUCCGAAAGCACCGCGCGCCCAGCAGGUGCCGGGCGGGCUGCAAGGGCGGGAGAUGCCAGCGCUGAGAAGACAUGCAGCGGCGUCCUCGGCGGGUCUGCGUGUGUGUGGCCACCGGCAACACUGACUCCCUUCAGAGCUCGUGACUCGGUGCUGCCAACUCCCCUGAACUCCAGGCCCACAUUUGGACAUGAGACACAUCGUCGUGGGCACAGAAGUCAGACCUUGAAGCCACCCUGCCUCCUCAUUCCCUACAUCUGGUCCUUGAGUGCAUUCUGUUGGCUCUCUCUUCAAAGUAUAUCCGGAACUGUGUUUGACUUGUUCCAGACUGCCACCCUGAU